GGACAGGAUAUUUGGUUGGGAGCCAUUUCCUUCUAGCUAUUAAAAGUUCACAGACUGAGCAGUGCUUAGAUUUUAACAGCAAAAAAAAAAAAAAAAAAAAAAAAAAAAAUCCCCUUCCAGUCGGUGACAAUUUGAAACAAUUUCCACAGAAUUUGAAAGGUUUUAUUUGAAGUCAUAAAUCAGAGACGGACCUCUGGGGGGGCUAAAUGCGAUUUCAUCAAAAAGAGCAAAGUUGUAUUUUCCUAAGGCAGACUAACCAUAGGCAGGCUGUUGACUGGCACCUGCUUUGUUUCAUUUUAAGAGUAAAUUGCAUUGAAUUUUAAGUCCGUAUUUCAAAGGAAUAGCCUGGGUCUGUACUGUCCAGGGCGUGUCUGUGUAGCCACUGUGUCCCCUUUCAAAGAGCAGGAACUUUCCUAAGACGCAGGCAGAUUCUGUAGUUUUAAGGACCGGAUUGUUUGAUCUCCGAACAGCAACACGGGAAUGAUGGUGUUCUCCCUUUCAAAGCUGCUUCCUGGGCAUAGCAAGCCCUGCCGGCUUUCACUUGAGCACACACGCCCCCUUCAUGGAAGUUAAGGUACUGCAGACGAUUCCCUGCAUCCCACCUCAGAGCCGAAAGCUGGGAUGAGCUAAAUUCUGUCCAGGUGUUUAGAUGUCAGUCCGAAACAAAAGCGAAAGCUGUACUUUUGCAAUAUAUAUAUAUAUUUUAAAGUUAUGACUCAGCCUCCGGGGCACUCAGGAGAGAUUCUGGGUGUGCGAAGCUUCAGUAGAUGUGUUUUGAUUAUUCGGAGAUUAUUUUGAUGAUUUGGAGAAAAAUAGGGGCGCGCCUCAGCUUUAUAGACCUGUCUUCAAAGCUAACUGGUGGGGAAAUGUCGUGGUGUCCUGCCACGCUGGUGCUGACUAAAGGGCACAUCCUUGUGAAGUAUGGAUUCAUAGUAGAAAGGUUUAUUUUC
rnacentral:lncRNA from 1 species